AUGUCUGUCCAGGGCUCACGCUACCAGGCGACUUGGGCGAAGAAGUCGCCUUCCCGACCGUCACUUCGCUUUCCUCGACCCCCAAAAGCGAAAACAAGUCGCCCUGUUCUUGACGACAGUCGCUUUCAGUCGCUUCCGUCAUCGGACAUUUUCAAUUUUUACCAAGUUGAUGAAACAUCAAAUUUUUAUUGAUAAUUAAAGAAUUUCAGACAUAAACGAUUCAUUAUCUUUUGAAAAGAGGUUGAAGCAUUGUCUUCGCAGUGUGUAGCAGGUUAUUUGAUAAAAAUACAACUUUUUAUCACUUCGUGCAUUUCUGCAAGUACCGGUGCUUGUUACUCGAAAACGUACAUCAACCUCAAUUUCGGCGGCAAAAUAAGUUUGUUACUUCAUUUAAACGUGAUAAAAGUUGCCUCCAGUAAAUUUUAAUCCAUUUAUUGCAUUAAAAACGUCAUGUUUCUUUCCAAAUAACUUGUCAAACAUCGUUUAUUUUUGUAAAUUUUCUUGCAUUCGUCCGCCAUUGACCGAUUUCUAAUCUACGGAUCUGAACCGGACCAGCUAUGACCGAAAUCCGUACUUUUACAAUAAUUACUACGGACGCACGGAUGGAACAGCUGACAGAAGAAUAUUGAUCCCAAAGGGAAAAAUUACGCAUUCCACACGCAUUAAGAGACUUUUGGUUACAUCUAAUUGAUUGGUGUAUAUGAUUCCUUAUAUUUUUUAUGGAUUGUUUCAAACUAUUGAUUAAAGUUACUUAACUCUGAGACUAUUAUACUAAUAUCAAUAUAUUAUGGCC
rnacentral:lncRNA from 1 species